UCCAACAUGAUGGACCCAAGUUAGUCUGCCCAGCCUCAUCCAGCAUCCUUCAGGCCCAGAGAGAACCCCAGGGGCUCUGAAAGCUUGACCUGCCGCCUGUCAGCAAUGGAGACGAAGCUGCCCCCUGCGAGCACCCCCACAAGCCCCUCCUCCCCAGGGCUGUCGCCUGUGCCCCCGCCGGACAAGGUGAAUGGCUUCUCCCGCGGGUUCCUCCGCAGGGCCUGUCCCCGGCGCUCUCACAGCUCUUCUCUGUUCCGCUAUCAGAGUAACCAGUAAGAACAUAAGCCACUGCCCCUGCUCAAAGAUGUCCCAGCCUCUGAGGUACAUGAGCUGCUGAGCCAGAAGCUGGCCCAAUGUGGGGUGAUGUUUGACUUCUUGGACUGUGUAGCUGACCUAAAGGGGAAGGAGGUGAAGCGGGCAGCACUCAGUGAGCUGGUGGAGUGUGUGGGGAGUACCCGGGGUGUCCUCAUUGAGCCUGUCUACCCAGACAUCAUCCGCAUGAUCUCAGUGAAUGUCUUCCGGACUCUGCCACCCAGCGAGAACCCUGAAUUUGACCCUGAAGAGGAUGAGCCCAACCUCGAACCUUCAUGUCCACAUCUGCAGCUCAUAUAUGAGUUUUUUUCUGCGUUUCUUGGAGAGCCCAGACUUCCAGCCCUCCGUGGCCAAGAGAUAUGUGGAUCAAAAGUUUGUCCUGAUGCUUCUGGAGCUGUUUGAUAGUGAGGACCCCAGGGAGCUUGAGUACCUCAAGACUAUCCUGCACCCGGUCUAUGGCAAGUUCCUGGGUCUCCGGGCCUAUAUCCGCAAACAGUGCAAUCACAUCUUCCUCCGGUUCAUCUAUGAAUUCGAGCAGUUCAAUGGCGUGGCUGAGUUGCUGGAGAUCUUAGGAAGCAUCAUCAAUGGCUUUGCACUGCCCUUGAAGACUGAGCACAAGCAGUUCCUGGUUCGCGUCCUGAUUCCCCUGCAUUCCGUCAGGUCGCUGUCUGUCUUUCACGCCCAGCUGGCAUACUGUGUAGUGCAGUUCCUGGAGAAGGAUGCCACCUUGACAGAGCAUGUGAUCCGGGGGCUGCUCAAGUACUGGCCAAAAACCUGCACCCAGAAGGAGGUGAUGUUUCUGGGAGAGAUGGAAGAGAUUCUUGAUGUCAUCGAGCCUUCCCAGUUUGUGAAGAUCCAGGAGCCUCUCUUUAAGCAGGUGGCUCGCUGUGUUUCCAGUCCCCAUUUCCAGGUUGCAGAGCGGGCUCCGUAUUUCUGGAACAAUGAGUAUAUCCUGAGCCUCAUUGAGGACAACUGCCACACUGUGCUGCCUGCUGUGUUUGGGACCCUCUAUCAAGUCUCCAAGGAGCACUGGAAUCAAACCAUCGUAUCUCUGAUCUACAAUGUGCUCAAGACGUUCAUGGAGAUGAAUGGAAAGCUGUUUGAUGAACUCACAGCCUCCUACAAGCUGGAAAAGCAGCAGGAGCAGCAGAAGGCCCGGGAGCGCCAGGAGCUGUGGCAAGGUCUGGAGGAGCUGCGGCUACGCUGGCUACAGGGAACUCAGGGGGCCAGGGAGGCCCCCAUCCAGUGGCUUACACCCCAGGUGGCCACCAGUGGGGGUCAGAGCUAGAAAGCCACCUGGAAAGGGAGAAGCUAAACCCAGAGCCACCAGUCCCUCCAUCCCUUCACCUGCCCAGGGGCCCAGAGAGACACACACUUCCUGCAGGCCUUACCAGAGUGGAUUCUGAGGACUCCCCGCCCAGCCUAGCUUUCACUGGGGGGAGACAAGGAAAGAAGAUGGUGGUCUUGGCAACAGAACUCUCAGGGCUUUGUGGCAGGACUUGAUCAGGGCAAGCUUGACCAGAAAGCUGCCAUCAGGGAUCUUUCCCUACCCUGCAAAGCUGGACUCCAGGCUGCAGGCAGGCUCCUAGCCCCUGCUCCCAGCCUAGGGCAAGGACACUCAGUGCUUCACCUGCCCUUGCCUCGGGCCCGCUCGAGGUCCUUCCUUAUCCCCACCAUGGAGUCCAUGGUCUAUUUAUUCUCGCCCAGCUCACCCUCAACACAGAUAUUGUCCUGGGCCUGGGGCAUUCU